AUGGGAACGCGAAGAACCUUACCUAGACUUGACAUCUUCUGCAUUAAUCGUAAUGGAUGAAAUCCCUUCGGGGACAGAAUGACAGGUGGUGCAUGGUUGUCGUCAGCUCGUGUCGUGAGAUGUUGGGUUAAGUCCCGCAACGAGCGCAACCCCUAUUAUUAGUUGCUAACAUUAAGUUGAGCACUCUAGUGAGACUGCCCGGGUUAACCGGGAGGAAGGCGGGGAGUGACGUCAAAUCAUCAUGCCCCUUAUGUCUAGGGCUACACACGUGCUACAAUGGUGAGAACAACGAGAUGCAAUACCGCGAGGUGGAGCAAAACUUCAAAACUCAUCUCAGUUCGGAUUGUAGGCUGAAACUCGCCUACAUGAAGUUGGAGUUGCUAGUAAUCGCGAAUCAGAAUGUCGCGGUGAAUACGUUCCCGGGUCUUGUACACACCG
rnacentral:rRNA from 1 species